rnacentral:rRNA from 1 species
AGAGUUUGAUCCUGGCUCAGGAUGAACGCUAGCGACAGGCUUAACACAUGCAAGUCGAGGGGCAGCGAGGGAGUGGCAACACUUCUGUCGGCGACCGGCGCACGGGUGAGUAACGCGUAUGCAACCUGCCCUUCACAGGGGGAUAACCGGGAGAAAUUCCGACUAAUACCGCAUACGUCCUCCGGGGGCAUCCCCGGGGGAUGAAAGAGUUAUCGGUGAAGGAUGGGCAUGCGUGAUAUUAGGUAGUUGGCGGGGCAACGGCCCACCAAGCCUACGAUAUCUAGGGGUUCUGAGAGGAAGGUCCCCCACAUUGGUACUGAGACACGGACCAAACUCCUACGGGAGGCAGCAGUGAGGAAUAUUGGUCAAUGGACGCAAGUCUGAACCAGCCAUGCCGCGUGCAGGAUGACGGCUCUAUGAGUUGUAAACUGCUUUUGUACGAGGGUAAACGCAGAUACGUGUAUCUGUCUGAAAGUAUCGUACGAAUAAGGAUCGGCUAACUCCGUGCCAGCAGCCGCGGUAAUACGGAGGAUUCAAGCGUUAUCCGGAUUUAUUGGGUUUAAAGGGUGCGUAGGCGGUUUGAUAAGUUAGAGGUGAAAUACCGGUGCUUAACACCGGAACUGCCUCUAAUACUGUUGAACUAGAGAGUAGUUGCGGUAGGCGGAAUGUAUGGUGUAGCGGUGAAAUGCUUAGAGAUCAUACAGAACACCGAUUGCGAAGGCAGCUUACCAAACUAUAUCUGACGUUGAGGCACGAAAGCGUGGGGAGCAAACAGGAUUAGAUACCCUGGUAGUCCACGCAGUAAACGAUGAUAACUCGCUGUCGGCGAUACACAGUCGGCGGCUAAGCGAAAGCGAUAAGUUAUCCACCUGGGGAGUACGUUCGCAAGAAUGAAACUCAAAGGAAUUGACGGGGGCCCGCACAAGCGGAGGAACAUGUG